AUUUUGUCAGAAAAAGAAUUGGAAGAGAAGAUGUGUGGAUUAUCGACACCUACA
rnacentral:sRNA from 1 species